CAAGGAAUCUUCCGCAAUGGGCGAAAGCCUGACGGAGCAACGCCGCGUGUGGGAUGACGCCUUUCGGGGUGUAAACCACUUUUCUCAGGGAAGAAAUCUUGACGGUACCUGAGGAAUAAGGACCGGCUAACUACGUGCCAGCAGCCGCGGUAAUACGUAGGGUCCGAGCGUUGUCCGGAGUUACUGGGCGUAAAGCGCGCGCAGGCGGCGGUAUAAGCAUGGCGUGAAAGCCUCAGGCUUAACCUGGGAGGGUCGUCGUGGACUGUACCGCUUGAGGGCGGUAGGGGCUGGUGGAAUGCCUGGUGUAGUGGUGAAAUGCGUAGAGAUCAGGCGGAACACCCGUGGCGAAGGCGGCCAGCUGGGCCGUCCCUGACGCUGAGGCGCGAAGGCGUGGGGAGCGAACGGGAUUAGAUACCCCGGUAGUCCACGCAGUAAACGAUGCAGACUAGGCGUGGGGGGAGUUGACCCCCUCCGUGCCGGAGCCAACGCGGGAAGUCUGCCGCCUGGGGAGUACGGCCGCAAGGCUAA
rnacentral:rRNA from 1 species